GACGAACGCUGGCGGCGUGCUUAACACAUGCAAGUCGAACGGAAAGGCCCUGCUUUUGUGGGGUGCUCGAGUGGCGAACGUGUGUGUAACACGUGUGUAACCUGCCCUUUACUUUGGUAUAACUUCAGGUAACUGGUGCUAAUACCGGAUAUGAGCUCCUGCUGCAUGUUGGGGGUUGGAAAGUUUCGGCGGUUGGGGAUGGACUCGCGGCUUAUCAGCUUGUUUGUGGGGUAGUGGCUUACCAAGGCUUUGACGGGUAGCCGGCCUGAGAGGGUGACCGGCCACAUUGGGACUGAGAGAGGGAGCAGAGUCCAACGGGAGGAAGCAGGGGGGAAUAUUGCACAAUGGGAGGAAGCAUGAUGAAGCAACGCAGCGUGCGGGAUGACGGCCUUCGGGUUGUAAACCGAUUUCGAAUGUGACGAAGCGUGAGUGACGGUAAUGGGUAAAGAAGCACCGGCUAACUACGUG
rnacentral:rRNA from 1 species